UUUGGUGCUUGCACCAAAUUUUCGUUAGCGGCGGACGGGUGAGUAACACGUGGGUAACCUACCUUAUAGAUUGGGAUAACUCCGGGAAACCGGGGCUAAUACCGAAUAACACUUUUUAACACAUGUUUGAAAGUUGAAAGACGGUCUUGCUGUCACUAUAAGAUGGACCCGCGGCGCAUUAGCUAGUUGGUGAGGUAACGGCUCACCAAGGCAACGAUGCGUAGCCGACCUGAGAGGGUGAUCGGCCACACUGGGACUGAGACACGGCCCAGACUCCUACGGGAGGCAGCAGUAGGGAAUCUUCCACAAUGGACGAAAGUCUGAUGGAGCAACGCCGCGUGAGUGAAGAAGGAUUUCGGUUCGUAAAACUCUGUUGCAAGGGAAGAACAAGUAGCGUAGUAACUGGCGCUACCUUGACGGUACCUUGUUAGAAAGCCACGGCUAACUACGUGCCAGCAGCCGCGGUAAUACGUAGGUGGCAAGCGUUGUCCGGAAUUAUUGGGCGUAAAGCGCGCGCAGGUGGUUCCUUAAGUCUGAUGUGAAAGCCCCCGGCUCAACCGGGGAGGGUCAUUGGAAACUGGGGAACUUGAGUGCAGAAGAGGAUAGUGGAAUUCCAAGUGUAGCGGUGAAAUGCGUAGAGAUUUGGAGGA
rnacentral:rRNA from 1 species